CUUCAAAAAAGCAUGUUCACUCAAGCCAAAUUUUAAACAUGACGUAAACUACUCUCAUGGAAAAUUGGUAUUUGAUCAUUUUACAUCGGAUGAGCAGGGAAUAGAGUCUCUUGAAAUUCUCUGGAGAAUGCACUUUCUUUCAACCAUGGAACCUAAAUUUCUCCCAGAGUUGUGGUCUGUGAAUCAUCAUCAGAAUGAAUCCAUCCAAUGUUCCAAUGUGAAUAAGGUAGAUUCUAAUGAAUUAUAUCGUCGAUAUAUGGACUUAAAAACAUACUAGUGAAUAAAUAACUAGGCAUUA
rnacentral:lncRNA from 1 species